CAAAUGUUCUUCGUGAACAUGGGGGACUGCUCAGUAACACGUGGAUAACCUGCCCUUAGGAUUGGCAUAACACCGGGAAACUGGUGAUAAUACCGAAUAGACCAUUUAUGCUGGAAUGCUUUUUGGUUCAAAGGCUUCCGCUGCCUAAGGAUGGAUCUGCGGCCUAUCAGGUAGUAGUGGGUGUAAUGUACCUACUAGCCUACGACGGGUACGGGUUGUGAGAGCAAGAGCCCGGAGAUGGAUUCUGAGACAUGAAUCCAGGCCCUACGGGGCGCAGCAGGCGCUAAAACUUUACAAUGCGGGAAACCGCGAUAAGGGGACACUGAGUGCCAGCAUAUUAUGUUGGCUGUCCACAUGUAUAAAAACCAUGUGUUAGCAAGGGCCGGGCAAGACCGGUGCCAGCCGCCGCGGUAACACCGGCGGCCCGAGUGGUGAUCACUUUUAUUGGGUCUAAAGGGUCCGUAGGCGGGUUGAUCAGUCUUCUGGGAAAUCUGACAGCUCAACUGUUAGGCUUUCAGGGGAUACUGUUAGACUUGGGACCGGGGAGAGGGUAAGAGGUACUACAGGGGUAGGAAUUGAAAUCCUUGGUAAUCCCCUGGU
rnacentral:rRNA from 1 species